GGAGCUGGCCCCAGCUGCUCAGACAGGAGCUGCCAGGGGAGACUUCCCUGGGGGCAGCCCCAGCCCUCCACGCUCUGGAGGAGGAAAAAGCUUUGGUGUCUGUCAAGAACAUUAUUCAAAAAUUCUUGGACACUUCUAAGCCCUUUCUGUGAGCAUGGAGACAGGGGGUUGAGGGAAGCUUUGCCUAGGCUGGGAUGGCACUUGGGUAUAGCCCCAGGUUUGAGUGCUGCUGUAUUCAUGGACAGUGCCCCAGAGGAAGAAGCACCGUGGGGACUCUCACUGCAAAGAAGACAGACCAUUAUCAACACUCCUCCCCUCUGUUCCCCAAAGUCCCCUCCUGACCGCAGCAUCAAUCUUCCACGCUGGCCGGCCGGAGGUGGUGCCUCUGGCAGAUUUAAAUGAGAGCAUGAAGGUGGGACCUCCAUUACUGGAUUAGUGUCCUUAUAAGAAGAG